rnacentral:misc_RNA from 1 species
GAAUUUGUUGAUGGGAUUUAUUUAUGGGUUAAUGUAAAUUUGUUAACGUAAAUGAAUUUAUUUACGGGUUCUCGAUCCUUCUGUUUAUGUUUAUUGUUUAUUUUUUGAUGUCCUGCAUUUAUCAUUUUAUGUUUGGCAUUUUUUUUUCUAGGCAUUCUGUGAAAAACCAACGUUCCAAAUUUUUCUCCCAAUUUGGUUCGAUUUCAAUUGACAUUUUAGGUGAAAUCAGUUUUCAGUUUUUCACAUUCGGAUGGUUUAGAACCGAACCAACUGAAUGCUCUCCCCUAACAUUAUCAACCAACAAAUGCAACAGCACGAGGGAAUGAG